CUCAGGUGGAGGAUAAAGCGGUAAUAGACGGAUGGACUCUAUUAUAUACACACAGUACACAAGCAACUUCCAUUCACCGACCAUGUGAUGAGACUGAAAUCUCUGCCAAACUUGGAUAUGGACAUGUGUAGUUUUUUCUGCUCUCUGAAUAAUCUGUCUGUCAGACACACACUGACGUACCGCAACGACAAAUCUUCAUCCUUCCGUCGUCAGAGUC